rfam:Pseudoalteromonas porphyrae strain TCD-SED14 scaffold_19, whole genome shotgun sequence.
GGGUCGUUAGCUCAGUUGGGAGAGCAUCGCCCUUACAAGGCGAGGGUCACUGGUUCAAGUCCAGUACGACCCA